rnacentral:rRNA from 1 species
AUUGAACGCUGGCGGCAGGCCUAACACAUGCAAGUCGAGCGGAUGAAGGGAGCUUGCUCCUGGAUUCAGCGGCGGACGGGUGAGUGAUGCCUAGGAAUCUGCCUGGUAGUGGGGGAUAACGUCCGGAAACGGGCGCUAAUACCGCAUACGUCCUGAGGGAGAAAGUGGGGGAUCUUCGGACCUCACGCUAUCAGAUGAGCCUAGGUCGGAUUAGCUAGUUGGUGGGGUAAAGGCCUACCAAGCCGACGAUCCGUAACUGGUCUGAGAGGAUGAUCAGUCACACUGGAACUGAGACACGGUCCAGAGUCCUACGGGAGGCAGCAGUGGGGAAUAUUGGACAAUAGGCGAAAGCCUGAUCCAACCAUGCCGCGUAUGUGAAGAAGGUCUUCGGAUUGUAAAGCACUUUAAGUUGGGAGGAACGGCAGUAGGUUGAUACCUUGCUGUUUUGACGUUACCAACAGAAGAAGCACCGGCUAACUUCGUG